AUGAGUAAGGUCACUUCUAGACUAGGAGUUUGAUAGGUCGCAGAUGUAAGUGCAGUAAUGUAUUCAGUUGAGCGAUACUAAUAGACCGAGGGCUUGAACUG
rnacentral:rRNA from 1 species